rnacentral:rRNA from 1 species
GACGAACGCUGGCGGCGUGCCUAAUACAUGCAAGUAGAACGCUGAAGAGAGGAGCUUCCUCUUCUUGGAUGAGUUGCGAACGGGUGAGUAACGCGUAGGUAACCUGCCUUGUAGCGGGGGAUAACUAUUGGAAACGAUAGCUAAUACCGCAUAACAAUGGAUGACACAUGUCAUUUAUUUGAAAGGGGCAAUUGCUCCACUACAAGAUGGACCUGCGUUGUAUUAGCUAGUAGGUGAGGUAAUGGCUCACCUAGGCGACGAUACAUAGCCGACCUGAGAGGGUGAUCGGCCACACUGGGACUGAGACACGGCCCAGACUCCUACGGGAGGCAGCAGUAGGGAAUCUUCGGCAAUAGGGGCAACCCUGACCGAGCAACGCCGCGUGAGUGAAGAAGGUUUUCGGAUCGUAAAGCUCUGUUGUAAGUCAAGAACGGGUGUGAGAGUGGAAAGUUCACACUGUGACGGUAGCUUACCAGAAAGGGACGGCUAACUACGUG